rnacentral:rRNA from 1 species
GACGAACGCUGGCGGCGUGCUUAACACAUGCAAGUCGAGCGGUAAGGCCCUUCGGGGUACACGAGCGGCGAACGGGUGAGUAACACGUGGGUGACCUGCCCUUAGCUCUGGGAUAAGCCUGGGAAACUGGGUCUAAUACCGGAUAUGACCUCAUGACGCAUGUUGUGGGGUGGAAAGCCUUGUGCGGCUAGGGAUGGGCCCGCGGCCUAUCAGCUUGUUGGUGGGGUGAUGGCCACCAAGGCGACGACGGGUAGCCGGCCUGAGAGGGCGACCGGCCACACUGGGACUGAGACACGGCCCAGACUCCUACGGGAGGCAGCAGUGGGGAAUCUUGCGCAAUGGGCGAAAGCCUGACGC